rnacentral:rRNA from 1 species
GACAGAGGGUGCAAACGUUGCUCGGAAUUACUGGGCGUAAAGCGCGUGUAGGCGGAUUUGCAAGUCGGAUGUGAAAUCCCUGGGCUCAACCCAGGAACUGCACUCGAAACUGCAAGUCUUGAGUAUCGGAGAGGAAAGCGGAAUUCCUGGUGUAGAGGUGAAAUUCGUAGAUAUCAGGAGGAACACCGGUGGCGAAGGCGGCUUUCUGGACGAUAACUGACGCUGAGACGCGAAAGCGUGGGGAGCAAAC